rnacentral:rRNA from 1 species
GACGAACGCUGGCGGCGUGCUUAACACAUGCAAGUCGAACGGAAAGGCCCUGCUUUUGUGGGGUGCUCGAGUGGCGAACGGGUGAGUAACACGUGAGUAACCUGCCCUUGACUUUGGGAUAACUUCAGGAAACUGGGGCUAAUACCGGAUAGGAGCUCCUGCUGCAUGGUGGGGGUUGGAAAGUUUCGGCGGUUGGGGAUGGACUCGCGGCUUAUCAGCUUGUUGGUGGGGUAGUGGCUUACCAAGGCUUUGACGGGUAGCCGGCCUGGGAGGGUGACCGGCCACAUUGGGACUGAGAUACGGCGCAGACUCCUACGGGAGGCAGCGGUGGGGAAUAUUGCGCAGUGGGCGGAAGCCUGAUGCAACAACGCCCCGUGCGGGAUGCCGGCCUUCGGGUUGUAAACCGCUUUCGCCUGUGACGAAGCGUGAGUGACGGUAAUGGGUAAAGAAGCACCGACUAACUACGUG